rnacentral:rRNA from 1 species
UACAGAGACUGCAAGCGUUAUUCGGAUUCACUGGGCGUAAAGGGUGCGCAGGCGGCCGUGUGUGUGAGGCGUGAAAGCCCGGGGCUAACCUCGGAAUUGCACCUAAAACUACUUGGCUAGAGCAUUGGAGAGGGUAGCGGAAUUCACGGUGUAGCAGUGAAAUGCGUAGAUAUCGUGAGGAACACCAGAGGCGAAGGCGGCUACCUGGACAAUUGCUGACGCUCAGGCACGAAAGCGUGGGGAGCAAAAGGG